rnacentral:lncRNA from 1 species
CUUUCUUGUCUGCCUCAACAUGAAAGAUAACAUUUGGCUGGGCACGGUGCAGCCUCGGUGACAGAGUGAGACCUUGUCUGAAGUAAAGAGAAAAAGAAAGGGAAGGGGAGGGGAGGGGAGGGGAGGGAAGGGGAAGGGUGGGAAGGGGAAGGAAAAGAAAGAGAAAGAAGGGAGGGAAGGAGGGAGAGAGGGAGGGAGGGAGGUUGGAAGGGAGAAAGGAAGGAAGGAAGGGAAAGAAGGAAGGAAGGAAAGAAAGGAAGGAAGGAAGGAAGGAAGAAAAAGGAAGAAAGGAAGAAAGAAAGACAAAGAAAGAAAGAAAAAGAAAGACGGAAGGAAAGAAAGAGAGAAGGAAAGAGAAAGGGCUGGGCGUGGUGGCUCACAUCUGUAACCCCAGCACUUUGGGAGGCAGAGGUGGGAGGAUUGCUUGAGUUUAGGAGUUUGAGAUCAGCCUGGGCAACACACAAGACUCUGUCUCUAUAAAAACUUUUAAAAACAAGCUGGGUGUGGUGGUGUGGGCCUAUAGUCACAGCUACUCAGAAAGGCUGAGGCAGGAGAAUCCCUUGAGCUCAGGAAUUCAAGGCAGCAGUGAGCUAUGAUCAGGCCAUUGCAUCCCAGCCUGAGCGACAGAGUGACACCCUAUCUCAAAAAAAAAAGAAAGAAAGAAAGAAAAUAAUUCAAGGAAACAAGGAUCACAUUAUCAUACAGGAAGAGCCUUAAAUUUAUUUGAAAAGGUGAAAAAUUGGAGAAUUUAGAUGUUCUAACUAUUGUUAAUCUCUUGUGGCUCUUCAGAUGGAUAGCAAGACGCAGGUUGCUAUCACACACAGGUGUGUUGCCAUAGCCUGAGAUGCUCUGAUCUAGAAAACUUCUAGAGGACUUGAAAUACAGCUGAAUUAACUCUUUCCUCUCCAAAGUUACAAGAGUUCCACAGAACUCCUCCUACCCCAAACAAUAAGAUUCCUGUAUCAAAUGCAAUAACAGUUUAAAAUAUAGGCUGGUCGGGCUGGUUGCGGUGGCUCAUGCCUGUAAUCCCAGCCCUUUGGGAGGCUGAGGUGGGCAGACCACCUGAGGUCAGGAGUUCGAGACCAGCCUGGUCAACAUGGUGAAACCUCAGUUUCUACUAAAAUUACGGCGGUGGGCACCUGUAAUCCCAGCUACUCGGGAGGCUGAGGCAGGAGAAUCUCGCCAUAGAGCGACACUCUAUCUCAAAAUAAAUAAAUAAAUAAAAUAUAGGCUAGUCUGUGUGCAGUUGUGUUUACAACUAUGAUCACCACGAGUUACAGAUUUCUUUGUUCCCUCUCCAUUCCCACUGCUUCACUUGACUAGCCUAAUCCUUCCAAAGGAAAUAUCUAGGCACCAGAACAAAAGAUAGAACUCAAAACUAGAGUGUGACAUGAUGUCAAAGAAGCCUAUGGGGGCAUUGUGCCCAGAUACAAGUUCUAAUGGCCAUGGACUGGCAUUUUAUUUUUUUUGAGACAGAGUCUUGCUCUGUCGCCCAGGCUGGAGUGCAGUGGCCCGAUCUCGGCUCACUGCAACCUCCGCCUCCCGGGCUCAAGCGAUUCUCGUGCCUCAGCAACCCAAGUAGCUGGGAUCACCUCAAGUGAUCCGCCCAUCUCAGCCUCCCAAAGUGCUAGGAUUAUAGGUGUGAGCCACCGUGCCCGGUCCAAGCCCAGAAAUUUGUAUAAAAGUGGGCCCUGAAUAGGAUGAUAUCAGCGAAAGCCCUGACAGAAGUUAACACAAAAUCUCUUUUUGGAGACACUUUUAUAAUUCAAGGCACAUGGAAUGUCUAACGAGCAGUUGCACUUUGCUAAAAAUGUGCUCACAAUGAAAAAUUACAGAGCAUGUUGAGGAAGCGAUCUACAGGGGAGUCAGGAAGCAAAAUGGGAGAAUUAGCACCCCAAGAAACUGAGACAGUAAAUGAUAAAAUAAGAAACAGCAAAAGAAAACAAAGAGGCAAUCAAUCAAACAACACAAAAAGGAAAAGAUGAAAAGUAACAUGCUAUUUAGUAAAAGAGAUGUUAGAAUAUGACCUAAGUGUACAUACUCCUACAAACUCACUGAUUCACAAUGGAUUCAAAUUGAAACUAGAGAAUUGAAAGUAAGCUUGAAAAUGUUUGGUUAUACUUUAGAAUAAAUUACCUGCAAGAAUUAUGAAUUAUGUGACUCUCAUUGGAUUUUAUUACCUCAUUGGAUUUUAUUAUCUCAUUGGAUUAUGUGACUCUGGUUGGAUUAUAUCAAAAGCCAUGUGACAGGUUUAGCUUAGAUGAUAAAUGCAUACAUUUUUCAUUGAUUUUGAGUUGCUAUACCAGUAAAUUUUUUUCAUAGAAAUGUUUUCUGGGCUGGGCGUGGUGGCUCACGCCUGUAAUCCCAGCACUUUGGGAGGCCGAGGCGGGUGGAUCACCUGAGGUCAGGAGUUCAAGACCAGCCUGGCCAACAUGGUGAAACCCCGUCUCUACUAAAAAUACAAAAAAAAAUUAGCCCGACUUGAUGACAGGCGCCUGUACUCCCAGCUACUUGAGAGGCUGAGGCAGGAGAAUCGCUUGAACCCAGGAGGUGGAGGUUGUGGUGAGCCAAGACCAUGCCAUUUUACUCCAGCCUGGGGACAAGAGCAAGACUUCGUCUCAAAAAAAAAAAGUGUUUUUAAUUUUUAACGUCUUUAAAUUACCAAAAUAACACAAUUUUUUUAUUUCAGAUAAAUUCUGAAAUAUAGAAGAGACCAAAAGAAACCCCCCCAAAAAACAAAAACAAAAAAACCCAAUAGUCUCACUACCCAGA